rnacentral:rRNA from 1 species
GACGAACGCUGGCGGCGUGCUUAACACAUGCAAGUCGAACGCGCCUGUCCUCUGGGUUUCUGGGGGGUGGGUGAGUGGCGAACGGGUGAGUAACACGUGAGUAACCUGCCCCCUUCUUCGGGAUAACGGUCUGAAAGGGCUGCUAAUACCGGGUAUUCACUGGUCUCCGCAUGGGGUCUGGUGGAAAGGUUUUUUUCUGGUGGGGGAUGGGCUCGCGGCCUAUCAGCUUGUUGGUGGGGUGAUGGCCCACCAAGGCUUUGACGGGUGGCCGGCCUGAGAGGGGGACGGGUCACAUGGGGACUGAGAUACGGCCCAGACUCCUACGGGAGGCAGCAGUGGGAAUAUUGCACAAUGGGCGCAAGCCUGAUGCAGCGACGCCGCGUGAGGGAUGGAGGCCUUCGGGUUGUGAACCUCUUUCGCCCGUGGUCAAGCCGCGACGUGGGUCGUGGUGAGGGUAGUGGGUAAAGAAGCGCCGGCUAACUACGUG